GCAAUGAUGAAACUCUGGCAUUGAUCUUUUACCUGAUUUUUGCCUAUUUUUGUCCUCUAAGAAGUUCUGAGCAU
ensembl:snoRNA small nucleolar RNA SNORD61